rnacentral:rRNA from 1 species
AGUGAACGCUGGCGGUAGGCCUAACACAUGCAAGUCGAACGGCAGCACAGGAGGGCUUGCUCUCUGGGUGGCGAGUGGCGGACGGGUGAGGAAUACAUCGGAAUCUACUCUGUCGUGGGGGAUAACGUAGGGAAACUUACGCUAAUACCGCAUACGACCUACGGGUGAAAGCAGGGGAUCUUCGGACCUUGCGCGAUUGAAUGAGCCGAUGUCGGAUUAGCUAGUUGGCGGGGUAAAGGCCCACCUAGGCGACGAUCCGUAGCUGGUCUGAGAGGAUGAUCAGCCACACUGGAACUGAGACACGGUCCAGACUCCUACGGGAGGCAGCAGUGGGGAAUAUUGGACAAUGGGCGCAAGCCUGAUCCAGCCAUACCGCGUGGGUGAAGAAGGCCUUCGGGUUGUAAAGCCCUUUUGUUGGGAAAGAAAUCCAGCUGGCUAAUACCCGGUUGGGAUGACGGUACCCAAAGAAUAAGCACCGGCUAACUUCGUGCCAGCCGCCGCGGUAA